UGUUAGACUGCUUAGCAAUGCUGGAAUCUUGGAGACAUCAGCAUGCUUAUGUCACAAGCCACAUCUGUCACUGCAGGAUUUGUGUUUGUCCUCACGUUAAUAAUAACUGAUGGAGGCACCAAGUCGCCUUCCCUUAAAAGCAAGGAGUCUGAAUAUCAGUUUGGGAAGAGGUGCUUCAAAGAUCAAACCAGGCCCAUGACAGUGACAUUCCUGGAUCAAUAUGGUCAGGAGGGUCAUAUAUAUCCUUCCAGUGGCAAGCUAAUAGUCCAAAGCCAGUACAUGAUAUGAAAAAGUUCUCAAUGUUACAACAAAACCAUGAAAAGGAAGAAAUAAGUGGCUGAGAAUGAAGAGUAAAAAUAACUGAAUAAAUUUAGACAUAAGUUCCAAGUGGUUUUCAACGGCUCUGGAUGUGGAAACCACUGCAGGUCAACAUCCCGAAAGAAAGUCCACAAUUAUACUUAUCAGUUUUCCACCCCCUGCUAAAGUAACCACAACAUUAUCAUGAGGAAAUCAUGAAAAGAAAAAGCAUGCUGCAGCAUACUCAUUCAACUUUGAAUAUAAUCAAAGAAGAAAUACCAUCCUUCACAAGUGAACUGCAGAAUUAUUUC